CCCUUGAGCCAUUUUGAGCCUAGCCAGUUAUCCCCUGUGAGAUUUAAACCCUGUACCUUGUGUUUGUAAGGCAAACACCUUAACCAUUAGGCCAUCAUGGUUCUCCUAAUGGUAUGUUGGCACAUGCUGUAGGCAGAAGUUUCUCAGCAGGCUGCUUAAGAGUUGUGGGUUUGGGAGUACGUUUCAUUGCUCAGUCUUUAGCUGGGAGGUCUGAAGUGUUUAAUUGGGUGCAAUUAAAUUGAAGGUUUGGCAACUAGCUUUGACUAGCGGGAAGGCUGGUGUAUAGUAGUGCUUGACAAUGAGCAGUGCAGGGGAUAAAUCCUAGAAGAUUGGAUGUGUAACGAAAUGUUCCUUAGUUAUGCGAGUGUUCACUGUUCUCGUAACAUGUAUGAGCAACAGCCAGAACUGUUUUACUGUGGUAGUUACUGUCACCAUUAGGUUUCCACUUGUCAAACCCUUGGAGAGACUGACAAAAGGGUAAGUAUAUUGCUGUGGAGAAAAGGAAAGUGAAGGUAAGGUGCACAUGAGAAAGCCAGGUUAGUCAAAGCCUUCAUCUUGAAUAAAGCAAGGGGCAUGUGAGCAUUUCAAUAGGGUGGCCACAAGUUCGGUAUGCUAGCUGGAGUCGUGGGAUUCUGUAAUUUUUCCCAUAAAAAUUGGGGCUGUGAGUCUGCCUGGGGGGGUGCAGUUUUGGCUAGGUGGAAGUCUCACCAGUGCAUGGCAUGUGAAUCGCCCGACUGAGGAUUUUUCUGUUUGCAAGCUGUCAGAGGUUCUCAACCACCCCAGAUGUUGUGGGUUUAAGUUACUUCUGCUCACCAGCAAGAUGGUGUGCAAGUGAAUGGCUGAGGACCUACCUUGACAGGAGGCAGCAGUUAUAAGAAGACUCUGCAAAGGGUUUUUAGAAUACUGGGAGGUUAAGAAUUUGGUGAAGGAACUGAAAGGUAAGGGGAAUGUUGAACAAUGAAUUGGGUAGGCUAGAAAAAGGUUCCAUCAUUCAUUCUGCUUCCAAGAGCAUUUGGGGUUGCCAUUAAGACAUCAAGCAAGCUUUGCAUUAAGUCUUUGGCACUGUCAUGUGAAUAACUGUACAAAUAGUGCAGAUGCUUUCAGUUUUGCUGGUGCAAGAGGAGGGGAAAUGGCAAAGGCAUCUUUCAGCCUUUUGCCUGGUUCACCCAAAGACUACAGUUUGGAUAUGGUAUUUGAUUUUGCAUGUGCAGGUGAUGAGGGGGCCAGUGGGCAGUAUGGUAGGUUGUGCACCACUUUCAUUUGGUGGUGUAAAGAUUGUGGGAGGAUUAGUUGUGGAGUGAAAGGAAAUGGGUCAUCAGUCUUGGAAAGGCCUUUACCUGGGCAUUAAGGAGAGGGUCUGCCAACAAGUUGCUAUUUGGUGUAGGAUUUGACUGUUCAUACUGCUGAUUAAGUAAGUUUCUGUGCUGUGGCAAUAACUAAACAGUUGCUGGAAUUAAGUCUCUUAAUUUUGCAUGCGAGGUAAUUCCAGGAAAGAACUUUUUUGCACACCUUUGGAAUGUUCAGAUGCUGUUGGCAUCUUGGGGAAUACUUUGAAGUGAGCUGGUUUAGUCAAGCAUGAGGUGCAGGAUGGUAACAUUGGGGAAUGAUUACCCAUCGUGGAAAUAACUUUCUAGUGGCUGAGUUCAUGGAGAAAGAUGAGAAACGAGUGCUGGUACCACUUCAAAUGAUUUGAGGGUGGGAGCCACUGCUGAGCAGGCACUGGCACUUUUGUAUAGUGCAUGUUGACUGUAGCUUGGUGGCAUAGUCCUUCCUCGUUUUGCAGCAGAGUACCACAUUGUGCACCAGGAGAGGACGAGAUAAUUGUGGCUAAUGAAAUUUUGAAUUUGAGGGCAUGCAUUUAGUGCCCCCUUGGUAUACCUGGGGAGCAGAUCAAGGGGAAAGGUUGAAUAUGCCAAACCCUAGCAGGCCUGGCACGGGAAUUGGUAGCAUUGACUUGGUACGUUAUUUGGUGCGCAAGCAGGUCCAUUCUUCCCAGUCGUGAAUUGUAUUUGUGCUGACUGAGGUGUACUGCAUGAAACAGUAAAGGCAAGCUAGUGAGAUGUAGCCAGGUACGUCCCUCAUUCAUUGCUGACUGUGCUUUGGGAUAAGCUGCAGUGAUUCUGCAGCAAUGGCUUUCCAUUUGGGAUGGAGGUGCACCACUUGCACUUCACUGAAGGAAGUAGAAAAGUGGAUUGAGCAGGUUUGCCUCUGAGGAUGCUGGUCUAGGGUUGUACAAUAUAGAAGUUUGGAGUGGCUGUAUCUGUUUGGUAGUGGGAAAAGAUGAAAUUUAUGUGCCAGAGGAAAAGGUAAGAACAGGACACAUGGGUGGGGGGUUCCUCAUCAUCUUUGGCUCUACCAUCUGUAGACCAGGUGGCCUCAAGGGAGUUGUCUGUAUUGGUCAGCCUGCAACUUUUGUAGGGCUGGAUAUAAACAGUCCUGCUUGUUUACAUUUUGGGUGAUAGCUGUGCAUGGAGUUGGCCUUCCAGAAGUUUCUGCCAUGCCUACUUCUAAAGAAUUUUCAUCAAUCAAGCAGGAAUAACUUUACAAUAAACACAUGGCUGCAGCCAUUUAAUCCA